rnacentral:rRNA from 1 species
GAUGAACGCUGGCGGCGUGCCUAAUACAUGCAAGUCGAGCGAACGGACGAGAAGCUUGCUUCUCUGAUGUUAGCGGCGGACGGGUGAGUAACACGUGGAUAACCUACCUAUAAGACUGGGAUAACUUCGGGAAACCGGAGCUAAUACCGGAUAAUAUUUUGAACCGCAUGGUUCAAAAGUGAAAGACGGUCUUGCUGUCACUUAUAGAUGGAUCCGCGCUGCAUUAGCUAGUUGGUAAGGUAACGGCUUACCAAGGCAACGAUGCAUAGCCGGCCUGAGAGGGUGAUCGGCCACACUGGAACUGAGACACGGUCCAGACUCCUACGGGAGGCAGCAGUAGGGAAUCUUCCGCAAUGGGCGAAAGCCUGACGGAGCAACGCCGCGUGAGUGAUGAAGGUCUUCGGAUCGUAAAACUCUGUUAUUAGGGAAGAACAUAUGUGUAAGUAACUGUGCACAUCUUGACGGUACCUAAUCAGAAAGCCACGGCUAACUACGUGCCAGCAGCCGCGGUAAUACGUAGGUGGCAAGCGUUAUCCGGAAUUAUUGGGCGUAAAGCGCGCGUAGGCGGUUUUUUAAGUCUGAUGUGAAAGCCCACGGCUCAACCGUGGAGGGUCAUUGGAAACUGGAAAACUUGAGUGCAGAAGAGGAAAGUGGAAUUCCAUGUGUAGCGGUGAAAUGCGCAGAGAUAUGGAGGAACACCAGUGGCGAAGGCGACUUUCUGGUCUGUAACUGACGCUGAUGUGCGAAAGCGUGGGGAUCAAACAGGAUUAGAUACCCUGGUAGUCCACGCCGUAAACGAUGAGUGCUAAGUGUUAGGGGGUUUCCGCCCCUUAGUGCUGCAGCUAACGCAUUAAGCACUCCGCCUGGGGAGUACGACCGCAAGGUUGAAACUCAAAGGAAUUGACGGGGACCCGCACAAGCGGUGGAGCAUGUGGUUUAAUUCGAAGCAACGCGAAGAACCUUACCAAAUCUUGACAUCCUUUGACAACUCUAGAGAUAGAGCUUUCCCCUUCGGGGGACAAAGUGACAGGUGGUGCAUGGUUGUCGUCAGCUCGUGUCGUGAGAUGUUGGGUUAAGUCCCGCAACGAGCGCAACCCUUAAGCUUAGUUGCCAUCAUUAAGUUGGGCACUCUAAGUUGACUGCCGGUGACAAACCGGAGGAAGGUGGGGAUGACGUCAAAUCAUCAUGCCCCUUAUGAUUUGGGCUACACACGUGCUACAAUGGACAAUACAAAGGGCAGCGAAACCGCGAGGUCAAGCAAAUCCCAUAAAGUUGUUCUCAGUUCGGAUUGUAGUCUGCAACUCGACUACAUGAAGCUGGAAUCGCUAGUAAUCGUAGAUCAGCAUGCUACGGUGAAUACGUUCCCGGGUCU